ensembl:snRNA U6 U6 spliceosomal RNA
GUGCUCGCUUCGGCAGCACUUAUACUAAAUUGGAACGAUACAGAGGAGAGUAGCUUAGCCCCUGCACAAGGAUAACAUGCAAAUUAGUCAAAUGUUCCAUAUUUUU